GCUCUGGUGCUGCUGGGUGUGGCUUGGGGUUGGGGUCUGAACGUGGUUCAAAGUUUUACAGGCACGCUGCGUGCUAAAAAGUUAUCUGGCUAGGAGCGGAGGCUGAAACAUGAGCAAAUUGGCUGUCUGUCAUUUGGGGUGGUGUGACAAUAAAAUAUACAAUGCAAAGCUGUUUGUGGGCUGUGAGAUGUUUGAGCAGCUAUAGAAGCAGUGACCUCAGGUUGAUUGCAUGCAGCUAUGUACCUUGUCACAUCUUGUGUGCUGAAUGCCCAGCCACCCUCCAGCUGCAACAAAUCUUUAGAGGCCUAAUGAUCAUUAGGCCAAUGGAGAAGUCAUCUGCAGGUAAUAGCGUCCUUUCCUAAAUCCUAGCUAAGUAGGAGCGUUACUGAACUACUAGUAGCUACACUAUAAAACUCAUUGAAGGAUUUGGACCUAUUAAAGUGUUAUUGAGUAACUUAUGCUACAUCACUUGGUGGCCCUAUUACUACUACUCCUACAACAUCACUGAUUUGGCUGCUAAAUAACUUGAAUAUCAUCCUUAGUUAAGAACUAGAUCUCCAGCCUGUAAGAAGUGUUUGUUACCCCAUUAUGUAUCUGAGAAGUGGGAUCCCAUUUACCUUGUCACACAGGGUUAACUCCAUUUUACUUGGAUGCCUACUUCACUCUGCUACUCUAUGAUGCUGGAUUGUUUCUUGUGUGACUGAUGCUAAGAGUAAUGAAUCUCGAAUACUGCUUGUGGCUUUGUUUGGCUCAGUUUUUAAAUUAUGUUCAAUAUUUAAAGCACUUUCCAAAUGUGCUCUUAACCACUGAGCUGCAUAAUGGACUGGGCCAGCUUCUGACUAGGAGCCAGUUGUGAUGCAGGAGCUGCUUGUGGGCCACCAGAAGAGGCAGCUAAUCUUCAUGGUAACGAAGUGUUCCCACAACCUGAUGCCUUGUCGAAUUGUGUUAACCUCUAAGAAGUUACUGUUCUUACAGGCAGCACCUGCUUCGUCUGUUUCAGAAGUUAUUUGGAAAAGCUCAACUCAAAAAUAGUGGUCCCCUCAUCCCAGUCUUGACAGACUUCCACUGUUUUUCCCAAGCCAAGCUUUGGCCGCUACUCCAGCAAUAAAAACAUUUGUGUAAGGUGAGUCUGCAAAUGCCAAUUGUGGUCUUGAGUUAAUGUAACAUGAUUACUCUGGGGAAAGAAAAUCCAAGAGACGGGCCAAAGAUAUGUGACUUGUUGAUGAAGGCAAUUCUUGCGCAUGUACUCUUAGGUAACUGCCCUUGCCUAUUGAAACAGAACCAUUCUGGAGGUAAAUGCCCAAACCUGGCAGUAGACAAAGGACCUAGGCAUGAGGAACUACUGGUAUCUGUUUGACUCAACACUUCAGGCUGAAAGAAAUGUAAUCUCUACUCCAGCUGUCAGACACCCAGUUAGUCACCUCAGUCAGGUGACACUAACAGAUGAAAACCAUUAAAUAUGUUUGUCUAAGAAUCUACAAGAUCUGGGUAAAUGGGUAACGACUCUGGCAAUAGUUUCCUCAAAUAUUUAAAACCACAAGCAUGAUUCAUAGGGCUUUUGUUUGAAGCUUAGAAACGUGAAAGCUUAGAAUUGCAUCUUACAGGGCUUGUUUUUCUUUAUGAUCAGGUACUAAAUGUAUUGCCUGAAUUUUUGUAACUUGGUAAUUGGCGUGUCCCUACAGUUCUAUGGGGACACUUACUAGCAAUUUGAAUUAAUAGAUCCAUCUAUUAGUGAUUCCUAAGAGUUUGGAAGUUUUCUGAAGUGCCAGCUGUUGAAUGUCUUUCUGUCCUCCACCUAGCCCCAUGAAUUGUUGAAAUUGAGUGUAUUUUAGAAUGUUUUAAAGGUUCCUAUACCUCUUACAGGGGUGAGGAAUCUAUCAGAUCAACAGAUGUCACAAGUUCCUACAUGAACUUGAAAGUAGGACUCCUGAAAUGAUGCCAUGGGCACUCCAAACAAUCAAUUGCACUGUUAAUGUUUUGAGAUCCCCUUCAAUUUGAGGAAGCCAGGUUUAUCUCUAUUUGGUGUCCUUCAUAGUGAAUUCCCCCCAUUAGAAUGCAGCUUCUCCAAGUUUGUUUCUACUAGGCUGUUUCAUAUAACCUGGAAAUUAGCCUGCUUUAGUGGCCAAUUCAAAGCAGAUCUCUUAAAACACACUGGAUCCUUGAUACAGAGCCCUUCUGUUUGGGUUCUCUUCAGUAUUGUCCUGGUUCGAUUCUCCUUCAUACUGGUUACUCUUGCCUAAUUUUAUAUCACUUUUCCCCACCUCUCUUGAACUCUUAUGCUCGAGUUCUAUUUCAUACCCUUAAUCCAUUUUUACCACUGUGCUUUAAACUUGAGUAGAUAUUGAUGGUUCUGGUUCCCUCUUUUCCUUUCAUAGGCAUUUUCAGUCUAUAUACAUGUUUGUUGCUAAUAUGUAGGACCAUCAUGUUCUUGGUGAACAGUAGAUCAGGGUCAUGACUAACUUGAUAAAACAUGUGGAUAUGGACAGGGAAUAGUAGCUACAGUAGCUAAGCCUUUAUACCAUUACUCUGAAUGCUUGACAUAUACUGGUUCACUUAUUCAUUAGCAGUAACUACCUUAUGGGGUGGUUUCGUUUAUAGAGAACAGUCUGAGGCCUAGAGGUUGUCACUUUCUAAAUCUCUCAACCUAGGAAAUUGUUCACUUUAGGAUGUUAAGUGUUUGUAUAAAAUUAAAUCACCCUUAACAAUGACUUGCUAUAAUAUGCCUAGAGAACAAAUGUUUGACCAAAUGUUUAAUAUUGUGGUUAAGGGUUAGGUAUCAUAAAUAUCAAACUGAAUCUGAGUUUGGGUUUACUUUAAGCAGGCGGCUGUCAUUCCCACCUUGCUCAGCAAGAAGCUAGAUGUCUUAGGGGAACAACAAUCAUUUCCUGU
ensembl:lncRNA